UACGGAGGGUGCGAGCGUUGUCCGGAAUCACUGGGCGUAAAGGGCGCGUAGGCGGCUUUGCAAGUCGGGUGUGAAAUCCCCAGGCUCAACCUGGGAACUGCAUUCGAGACUGCAUUGCUAGAGUAUGGGAGAGGGAAGUGGAAUUUCCGGUGUAGCGGUGAAAUGCGUAGAUAUCGGAAGGAACAUCAGUGGCGAAAGCGACUUCCUGGACCAAUACUGACGCUCAUGUGCGAAAGCGUGGGGAGCAAACAGG
rnacentral:rRNA from 1 species